rnacentral:rRNA from 1 species
GUCUACGGCCAUGCCACCCUGAACAAGCCCGAUCUCAUCUGAUCACAGAAGCUAAGCAGGGUCAGGCCUGGUUAGUACUUGGAUGGGAGACCACCUAGGAAGACCAGGUGCUGUAGGCA